GGGUGCCACUUCUGGACUGGAGCGUUUAAUGACUUGCAUGAGACCAUCUCUUUUGGGCUGCAUAGUGACCAGAAAUGCUUAAGAGAUGGCUGCUCCAUCAGCCUUGUCUCCGAAUGACUAGAUUGAGUAAUUUUCUGCUGUGCUGUCUACAUGUCCCUGGCAAUGGUUAUAUAGAGAAGAGGUCAGCAGAUGCCCAGUGACCUGUUGUUGUGUGGCUGAUGAAUAAGAAUAGGUUAUACAAAGAACCCAUCUACAAAAGGGUUAUGUAAAAAUUGAAGAAGAAAAUACAUCAGAAAUCGUAUGUUGCUCAAAAAGUAUAAAAUAUUUACCAUCUGGGUCUUAACAGAAAAAAAACCUUCUACCUCCUGACUUUGAGAAAUAAAUCUUUGUUGUCCUUAUCUACUGACCUUUUGUUACCUCAGCAUGACCUCGACUUACCUUGACUGAUACGCUGGGUGAAGGGGGAAGGAAGACCCUGGUGAGCAGAGUGAACAAAGGCAAAGAGCAUCAAGUGUUAAGGGCAAUGCAAGGGAUUCAGGACGGUUCCACUGUGGGGUUCUGUGGGGGCAAGAAAGGCAGGGGCUGGAUUAUGUGGAACUGUAUAUGUCAUGCCAACACUUUUUUUUUUUUCCAUUAAAAAAAUUCCUUUUUCUAGGAGUUCCCAUUGUGGCUUGGUGGGUUAAGGACCUGACAUUAUCUCUGUGAGGGUGUGGGUUCGAUCCCUGGCCUUGCUCAUGGGUUAAGGAUCUGGCGUUGCCAUGAGCUGUGGUGUAGGUCACAGAUGCAGCUUGGAUCCUGCGUUGCUGUGGCUGUGGUGUAGGCCAGCGGCUACAGCUCUGAUUCGACCUCUAGCCUGCAAACCUCCAUAUGCCACGGUUGCAGCCCUAAAUAGACCAAAAAAAAAAAGUUCACUCUGGCAUGAAGUGCUCCGAAGGGUGACUUCUUUGGGAAGCAGGGGAGAAGAGGACUGGAGGAAGAAGUUAGAGGCCCUGGUGAUGAGGGAAGGCACAAGAAAGGACAGGAAGAAGCUCUUAUUGACAGUCAGCAAUAUUCAUACAGUUCUUUCAUGAGAUUUUUCUUCCCAGUCCUUUUGAUAUAGCUUUUACAAGAGUGUUUUCCAAACAUGGUCCAUCCAUAAGAAUCCCUGGCAGGAGUUCCUGCUGUGGCACAACAGGACUGGUGGUAUCUCUGCAGCACCAGGAUGCAGGUUUGAUCCCUGGCCUGGCACAGCACAGUGGGUUAAAGGAUCCAGCGUUGCCACAUCCAUGGUGUAGUUAGAAAAUGCUGCUCGGAUCUGAUCCCUGGCCUGGGAACACCAUAUGCUGUGGGGCAAUCAAAAACAAAAACAGAAGAAUUAAAAGAAUCCUUGGCAAUCUGUGUUCUGCAGGUCUCUCCCUUGGAGAUCCUGACUCCCUAGGUCCAGUGGAGCCUAAGAAGCUGUAGGUGGGAGUUCCUGUUGUGACUCAUUGAAAACAAAUCCAGCUAGUAUCCAUGAGGAUGUGGGUUUGAUCCCUGACCUCACUAGUGGGUUAAGGAUCCAGCAUUGCUGUAAGCUGUGUUGUAGGUUGCAGAGGGGGCUUGGGACCCGAGUUGCUGUGGCUAUGGUGUAGGCUGGCAGCUAUAGCUACCAUUCAACCCCCUAGCCUGGAAACUUCCAUAUACUGUGGGUGCAGCACUAAAAAGCAGAAAAAAAAAAAAAAAAAAAAAAAA
rnacentral:lncRNA from 1 species